rnacentral:misc_RNA from 1 species
GGAGAAGCCAUUCGAGUCCAAACGGGCAAAAUAAAUCCAUUCAGAAUCGCCCAAUUCAACUUCCCCUUCAGCUGCACCACUCUGUUCUUCUGAAAUUUUACUCGCAGUCGCAGAUCUCCCCGAAGCUUAAAAUGGAGAAUAAGCAAUUGGACGUAUCGCCAGCAAAAGCAGUCUUAUUAGGAGCGCUAGCUCCUGGUGUUAACGUUAGUGCUACUUCUGAAGCUUAUAUUUAUCGGAGUGUAGAUGUGGUCACUCAUCUUGAACUCGAGUAAAUGAAGAAUCUUUUUGUUGUUUAAUGUUCAGGGUCCUACAUGGAAUACACUGAAAUCAGCGUUUCUGAUGCUGGGUUCUUGCCUUGCUGUGAUGCUUGGCUUAGCCUUCUCUUCAAGUGACUCUUCUUUGAUACUUCAUGUUGGGUUUCUUGUUCUAAUAGCUGCCACCCUCUUCUUGCUUCUUAGCUGGUAAAGUAAUUCUUCUCUAACAGAUCUCAUUUUUUUACUAGCUUCUGUUAAUUGAAUGAAUUAGGCAUGUGUUUGUAUACUUCUCAAUGCUCUUUCUUCCGCUGUUAGGGUGGAACUUUAUUUUGACCAUGUUUUGUUUUAAUUCUGGACCAGAAUGCUAGCCCAACCUUAUCCAUGUUUUUGUUUUUCCUGGUAAGUGAUAGAUGUCAUACUUUUACUAACACAUUAGGAGAAUUCUGCCGAACAAAGCCUUUUGGAUGGUUGAUUAAAAAUAUCAUCUUGAGUAGUUAAAUACUUGCAGGUUGGAAAUAUAGUCCUUGCAAGGUCCUCUGAGGUUGAGGUUAGCCAACUUGAUCCAAGAAGCAUUACUUGACAAAUCACCACAGGAAUGUAGACCUUUAAUAAAGAAGUGGUUUGUUGUUUUAUGCUAAUAAGCUGAAAAUUGGCCAUUUAUGCAUAUCAAUGUUAGGCUAUGGAAGCACAAUUGCGUCAGGGAAUGUCUCUCAUUUUAGUGCUUUAUCUGUUUGAGGCUUGUGUCUGUGAGGUGUUAAGGACAAUGUCAAUAAGAUUGAUAAACUAUUUCUGGAGCUGAAAGGCAUAAUUUUGGCUGCUGAUAUGUUACUUAGAGCUUAAAAAGUGCAGCAAACAUGAACUCAUCAACAUGCUAGAUAUUAGUGUUCAAUUUCUUUGCUGCAUGAGCCAUGCCUGACUUACGAACAUUCAUAGCAUUGAAAUUUUCAAAUCCCAGAUGUUUCUCAAUCUUCAUUGUAGUGCUGGAGAGAUGGAGAAAUGAUGCGUGAUAUGCAUUUUGGAUACUAAUUCUCCUCAAGCGUAUAUGCAGUUUUAGAUAUUGACUAGUAUUGAGUAAAGAUUGAAAAUCAGGUUGGCUUAAGGGUUAAAACAUUGGAUUUUCUCUUUUUUACAUGUAUAUGUUAAUUAUAUAGUGUGUGAUACCUCCAAUGAUAAGUUUUUAUUACCCAGUCACCCAAUAAUUUAAAGUUUCACAUUGCCUUGUGCUGUCUAAACAGGUCUCUGUGGUGACUUUCUAGAAUACUAAUGCCCUCAAUUGACUUUUCAAAUUAAAUAAAAAGCUGUUUAGCCACUCAGCAGUGCUGCCUUUGUCUCUGCAUUAUGAAACCUUGGAUAUGAUGUCUAUUAAUUGUGUGACUGGAGUUCAGCAUUGUUUUGGUUAACGGUAAGUAGAGAACUAAAUGAAGUUGUCUAUGAUUGUACCUUAAAUGUUAGUUGGGCUAUUAGAGAAUUAGUUAUUUUUCUUGGAUAUUGGAAUAAAAAGCCUUCUAUUAUCUGACUUUACUUCUGGGGAUUCUUGAAUUUUGCCUUGGUGAUUUUUUGAUUCCAUGUAAUUUCAUGUUCGUUCAACCAUUUAAUAAGAAGCCAGGUGUUACACGAAAGGUUAGAGAAAGAAAGACUUACACUUGGAUGCUUCUGGGUUGUGCUUCUGAAGUGUGACUAGGGGGCAUUUACACAUGAACAUGGUUCAUUUAUGAGCUGGAUGAGAGGAAAUUUUCAUGUCCGGUUUUGAAGGGCACAGACUUCAUAAGAGCCUAUCCCAAUUUUUCUUUUGCUA